rnacentral:rRNA from 1 species
GUGGGGAAUCUUGCGCAAUGGGCGAAAGCCUGACGCAGCCAUGCCGCGUGAAUGAUGAAGGUCUUAGGAUUGUAAAAUUCUUUCACCGGGGACGAUAAUGACGGUACCCGGAGAAGAAGCUCCGGCUAACUUCGUGCCAGCAGCCGCGGUAAUACGAAGGGGGCUAGCGUUGCUCGGAAUUACUGGGCGUAAAGGGCGCGUAGGCGGACAGCUUAGUCAGAGGUGAAAGCCCAGGGCUCAACCUCGGAAUUGCCCUUGAUACUGGCGAUCUUGAGUAUGAGAGAGGUAUGUGGAACUCCGAGUGUAGAGGUGAAAUUCGUAGAUAUUCGGAAGAACACCAGUGGCGAAGGCGACAUACUGGCUCAUUACUGACGCUGAGGCGCGAAAGCGUGGGGAUCGAACAGGAUUAGAAACCCGUGUAGUCC